rnacentral:rRNA from 1 species
AGAACACCCGCUGAACUUAAGCAUAUCAGUAAGCGGAGGAAAAGAAACUAACUAGGAUUACCUCAGUAGCGGCGAGUGAAGAGGUAACAGCCCAAGAUGUUAAUCGGCCGUAAGGUUGAAUUGUAAUCUAUAGGGACUCCUGGAAGAAACCUAUGAGUCAUAAGUUCCUUGGAAAAGGAUACCAUAGAGGGUGAUAGUCCCGUCUUUGGAUUCAUAGGUUCGUACAGGUGUUUUCUAAGAGUCGGGUAGUUUGGGAAUGCUGCCCUAAUUAGGAGAUAUACUUCUUCUAAGGCUAAAUAUUUAUAGGAGACCGAUAGCAUACAAGUACUGCGAAGGAAAGAUGAAAAGAACUUUGAAAAGAGGGUUAAAAGACUUGAAAUCGUUAGAAAAGGAAGCAGUAGAAGAGUAAUUAUGUCUUCGUGAAACUCGUCGGGCAUCUAAUCAUGUGGGGGAGGAGUAUCUAACAGAGCUUACUUUUACAUGAGAUCGUGCACGGCCGUUCGCAGAGACUGGACAGAAUGAGAUCGACCUGGAAGAAUAAGGCGG